rnacentral:rRNA from 1 species
GCACAGAGUUGGCCGGGGCUUCCUCUGAAGGUACCGUCAGAUGCCGGCGGUUGUCGCGACGACACCCUUCUUUCCCUCUGACAGGGGUUUACGACCCGAAGGCCUUCGUCCCCCACGCGGCGUCACUCCGUCAGGCCUUCGCCCAUUGCGGAAAAUUCCCCACUGCUGCCUCCCGUAGGAGUCGGGACCGUGUCUCAGUUCCCGUGUGGCUGGUCGUCCUCUCAGACCAGCUACCCGUCAUCGCCUUGGUGAGCCGUUACCUCACCAACUAGCUGAUAGGCCGCGAGCCCCUCCAAGAGCGGCAGCUUGCGCCACCUUUCCUCCUCAGAUUUCGCAACCCGAGGAACGUAUCCGGUAUUAGCCUCCCUUUCGAGAGGGUAUCCCGAACUCGAGGGCAGGUUACCCACGUGUUACUCACCCGUGCGCCACUAGGACCGCCGAUGUAUUGCUACACCGAUGAUCCCCGUUCGACUUGCAUGUGUUAAGUACGCCGCCAGCGUUCGCU